rnacentral:lncRNA from 1 species
CGCCGACGCGGUGUGAGGACGCUCCCACGGAGGCCGGAAUUGGCUGUGAAAGGACUGAGGCAGCCAUCUGGGGGUAGCGGGCACUCUUAUCAGAGCGGCUGGAGCCGGACCAUCGUCCCAGAGAGCUGGGGCAGGGGGCCGUGCCCAAUCUCCAGGGCUCCUGGGGCCACUGCUGACCUGGCUGGAUGCAUCGGGCAGUGGACCCUCCAGGGGCCCGCGCUGCACGGGAAGCCUUUGCCCUUGGGGGCCUGAGCUGUGCUGGGGCCUGGAGCUCCUGCCCGCCUCAUCCCCCUCCUCGUAGCGCAUGGCUGCCUGGAGGCAGAUGCUCAGCCAGCAUUGGGCAGCCCCCGCUUCCUGCUCCCCUACCCCCUUCACAUGGCAGUAGUUCUGGGCACCCCAACAAACCAUAUUAUGCUCCAGGGGCGCCCACUCCAAGACCCCUCCAUGGGAAGCUGGAAUCCCUGCAUGGCUGUGUGCAGGCAUUGCUCCGGGAGCCAGCCCAGCCAGGGCUUUGGGAACAGCUUGGGCAACUGUACGAGUCAGAGCACGAUAGUGAGGAGGCCACACGCUGCUACCACAGCGCCCUUCGAUACGGAGGAAGCUUCGCUGAGCUGGGGCCCCGCAUUGGUCGACUGCAGCAGGCCCAGCUCUGGAACUUUCAUACUGGCUCCUGCCAGCACCGAGCCAAGGUCCUGCCCCCACUGGAGCAAGUGUGGAACUUGCUACACCUUGAGGUGAGGCUGGCACUGGGUGGGUUAGGGAGGAGAGCCAGGCUGUGCCUGCACCCGUGCCAUUUUCUCUUCUCUCUUUUUGUUCUCAGCACAAACGGAACUAUGGAGCCAAGCGGGGAGGUCCCCCGGUGAAGCGAGCUGCUGAACCCCCAGUGGUGCAGCCUGUGCCUCCUGCAGCACUCUCAGGCCCCUCAGGGGAGGAGGGCCUCAGCCCUGGAGGCAAGCGAAGGAGAGGCUGCAACUCUGAACAGACUGGCCUUCCCCCAGGGCUGC